CAGUCGCCGCGGGAAUACGGAGGGUGCAAGCGUUAAUCGGAAUUACUGGGCGUAAAGCGCACGCAGGCGGUCUGACAAGUCAGAUGUGAAAUCCCCGGGCUUAACCUGGGAACUGCAUUUGAAACUGUCAGGCUGGAGUCUUGUAGAGGGGGGUGGAAUUCCAGGUGUAGCGGUGAAAUGCGUAGAGAUCUGGAGGAAUACCGGUGGUGAAGGCGGCCCCCUGGACAAAGACUGACGCUCAGGUGCGAAAGCGUGGGGAGCAAACAGGAUUAGAUACCCGGGUAGUCCCUGUCUCUUAUAC
rnacentral:rRNA from 1 species